rnacentral:lncRNA from 1 species
CUACAAAGCUAUUACAAAGUCACUAAUAAGGGAAAAGAAAUGAGAUAAGGGGGAGAAACAGGGGACAGUGGACGCCAAGCAGCUACCUCGUGAACUCUGAAGUCUGCCGGGAGCUCUCAACUCUCACUAGCAGGAUCAACAACGCCUGAAUCUGCACACGAGGUGCAGAUAGUAAAGUGAGCACUCCAACUCAGUGAGUAAUAAUCAUAAAUAAAGACUAAAAGCAACAAAACACGUAAGGCACAUAACAGGCUAUAAGGAAGCAGUAAAAAGCCAGUAAAAUAGUGAAGCAGUAAAGAUAUGUAAAAAUCACUUCAGUUCAGUUUAAACUUCAUAAAAGGCCUUUUUAACAAAUUAAGCAGGUAAAUGACAGGCAAUAAGGAAGAUAAGCACAUAAAUGUUCGCCCCUAGGGCACAAUAUCAACAAAUGCGCCCUUCGGGCAAUAUUUCAAAACAAUACCAGCCGCUCGGGCUAUAUCUCACAUCACAAUGGGUACCCGCGCUCACUGGGGGUGUGCAGACUACUGGAGGGGCCCCUUACGGCCCAAGCGCAAUAUUAAGUCAUCUCGUGGCAUCAUCACUAGGCUCUCAGCCUUAUACCAACAAGUCACCUCGUGGCAUACAAAUCUCAGGCCCUCGGCCUCAUAAUCAUAAUCAAUGUUUCCUCAUAACAUAGGCCAUUGAUCUUACUUAGUCAGAAUCUCACAGCCACUCGAGCAACAGUAAAACAUGGUGCUCAGCCCAAAAUAUCAUUUAAAAUAUCAUUUAAGUGUUAAAGUAGAGUAAACAUGGCUGAGUUAUGAAAAACAAUAGAAUAUAGCAUGACUGAGUUCAAGUAUGUCACGACCCAAACCCGGACCCAGUCGUGAUGGCACCUCUCGUGAAGACAAGGCCAUCCGACACUUCUCCUUUUUCCAAUUAUUAAAAGUUAAGCAUUUAGAAACAGUCGAAACAUGAUUAAAUAAUCCAAAGUAGCAGAUAAUGUCAUAAAUACGCAGAAGAACAACCCAACACAACCCGAAACCGGGGUGUCACUAGUCAUGAGCAUCUAUAAAACCUAAUACAAGUCUGAAAAGUCUACAAACUAUCACAAAUGUCUGAUAUGAUAUAGAAAUGAUAAAGAGGGAGAGACAUGGGACUACGGACGUCAAACAGCUACCUCGUGGACUCUGAUAUCUACCGGGAGCUCUCAACUCGCACUAGCAGGAUUCGCAACGCCUGAAUCUG